UUAUACUACUACUUGUGUAGAUAUUUUUAUACCUAUCUCUGGAUGAUAUAUACAAACACACACACACUUAAAUAUUUAUACAAAAUGUACCUGAUCCCACCUCUAGUAUAUCUAGGGGUUCGUGUUUGCCCAACUCUCUAUAUUGUAUUGCUUAUAGGAGUUAUGAGAUUGAUCACUGUUCAUUGUCUUUGCCUUUCUUGAAUACUCGUGUGUGCGAGACAUCUAGUUUCAAUUUUCAAUGAAUAUAUUUACUUAAGGAAUAUUCUAUCAAAGAUAUGCAGGUGGAAAAAUGUAUUUCAGUCUUAUCAUGCUUAUUGUAGAGAACAGAGGAUCCCUACCCUCAAUGGUGUCCUUCGGAUUGAGCUGAUGCAAGUGUCUUUAAAUCUUACAUCUGAGUCAUGGCUUCAAGUAAGUUUUUAAAAUUGAAUUUCAAGUUUGUAACACAUAUAUAUGUGCAGUCAUCAGUUCUUGGUCUGAGUUAUUUAAUCUGAGAUUCCUCUGACCAUUUACCUCCACUUAUAUAUAUACAUGACUGGGUCCAUCACUUCUUUAUAUAUAUAUAUAUAAAACUACAAGUAAAAGUUGGGGGAAUGUCAGAUUAGCCUGAGCUGAAGACUUAUUGAAAUUGUCAUUUACUGCUUUUUGAAUUUCUACUUCCUCUCCAAAAUUAAGAAGUCAAGUUCAAAACCAAACUUACCAUAUUGUAAAUAAAGGGGAUGAAAGGUCUACACAGAAAAGGAGUAUUAACAGGGUUUGACAUUUACUUUUUUUAGCACUAGACCAGUCGGGCUACUUUAAAUGAUUUUUGCUAGACCUGACCUUACAUCCACUUGCCCCGACCAACUUUCCAGAAACUGAUAGUUUCUCCAUAUUUAAAUGUACUGAAUUCAAAUGACAAACAUUAAGUUUGCAUGAACUAAAACGUACUUAAUUGUCUCAAAAUAGAGUUUUAGUCUCGUCAUUCAAUUUAACGCUUUCAUUUUUCAAACACAUUUUCUGUUUCUUUAAAUUCUACCCGACAUGGAAAUUCUCUAGUCAAUUUAAAAUAAAAUGGCCUCAACCGUUUUUUAAAUCUCUAUUUCAUAAGUCUUGCUUGGUUUCUUCCCAACCUUUUACUUUUUAUGCCCCCGAGAUCAAAGAUCGGGGGGCAUAUUGUUUUUGUCCUUUCUGUCAUUCUGUGUGAAACUUUAACCUUGCUAAUAACUUUUGAACAGUAAGUGAUAGAGCUUUGAUAUUUCACAUGAGUAUUCCUUAUGACAAGACCUUUCCGUGGGUACCAACAUUUUUGACCCUGUGACCUUGACCUUGGGGUUUGACCUACUUUUUGAAAACUUUAACCUUGCUAAUAACUUUUGAACACUAAGAGAUAAAGCUUUGAUAUUUCACAUGAGUAUUCCUUGUUACAAAAUCUUUCCGUUGGUAUUGAACCUUUUGACCUUGACAUUUGACCUACUUUAAUUUUUUUUUUUACAUUGGUCAUAACUUCUAAAUGGUAAAUAUUAGAGCUUUCAUAUUGUACAUGAGCAUUUCUUUUGACAAGAUCUUUCUACUGGUACCAAGAUAUUUGCCCUAGUGACCUUGGCCAUCUUCGGAAUUGGCCAUUAUCGGGGGCAUUUGUGUUUCACAAACACAUCUUGUUUUCUCUUAGGACAUCUUUCCUUGAGGACGAAAAGUCGUAUUUGAAUAUAUAGACAUUCCCGCACAUAUGUCAACACCGAAAAAUGACUGUUUACGAUUAAUUUGAUAAACACUUUCUUAUAUUUGAUUCAAAUAAACUGGGUUUUUCAAAAAAUGAAAAUAAAUUCAUCUAAAACAUAACUUUACACACAUUAACAUUGAGUAGAUGUCGUAAAACAUCACUUCUAACUGCGACUUAUUUAUUAGAACUAAAAAUAGAGAUUGUGUCAUCAUGCGGUUCAAAAUUAAGAAUAAAAUAUCUUAUGGUUUAAAGUAAAGUUUCUUGUUUAUUUUUUCAACACGACCAGUCGGACUAGUAAAUCGACAUUUUACCCGACUGGACCUAUCAUUUAGUAGACUCAGUCGGUCGGACGUGCCUUAGUGUCAAACCCUGAUUAAGAACAAAUAUUGAACAUUAUAUCUGCAUUAAAUAUAUUCCCAUAACCAUUUCAUUUCAAUCUUCAUUAACUCUAGUGUCAGUCUAUUGUCUAAUAUUAAUGGAUAGUUUUUAACACGGAUGCUACACUCUUGUAGAUUUCAGGGAUUGAUAGAGUCAUAAAUAAUGAGGUCCAUUUACAUUUACAAAUGUUAGAUGAUUCUGAAAAUCCUUAAAAAGUCCUAAUUUCCCCACUCAAUUCCUAUUUUUAAAAAAAUAUAUUUCUAGUCUAGCAAUUUUGAAAAUACAUUCAAGCUAAAUUUGACCAGUGAAUUCAUGUUUCAAGCUGUUUAUUGCUUUUGGCUUUGUGACAAAGAUGUGUCAGACUAUUUAGGUUAUUGCCAAAUGCCAAUAAUAGCUGGAAGACACCCUACCUGCAUGGAGAGUAUUUUUUGUGAGUUUAAUUUAUUGUCAAAAUUGUAAGACCAUUUAAAUGUCUAAAACUGCCCUAAUUUAGUUAUGAAAUUCCAAAUUUUAGCCCAGAAUUUUCGUAAUUUUAGUCCUAAAAUUAACCCCUCUGUUGUCCAAGAGUGCUGGACAGCCUGUUGAAAGUACCGAUCAGGAUGAAUAUCUGACAUCAUAUGGACUUCACAGACGACUUAUAGUAGGUGAUGGGAAUUGUCUCUUUAGGUCUGUUAGUCUUGCCCUCUAUAGAAAACAAAAUGAUCACCAAGAGCUAUGAAAUGCAGCAAUACAUGAAACUGAACAAAAUUUGGAUACCUUAGUUUCAUAUGUUUUCUUUCAUUCUAAUGGUAAUCUUAUGACUUAUCCAGAAAUUCAACAGGUACUGAAUAAUCUUAGGCAGUGAGGCACUUUUGCAGGGCAGGAAUCAGUUUCGGCAAUGUCUAGACAUUUUGGGAUCAAUUUAUUAGUAACUGUUGGUGGUGAUCAGGAUAAUAAAGUUGUGACUCUUGAACAUGACUUUGGAAACUCAAAUUCUAGAAUUCAUUUGAUUUGGAUGGGGGUAGGGGUGGGCAUUCUGAAGGAGUGACUGAAACAUCACCAUCAGACAAUUAGAGAGAACCAUUAUCAUAAGGAUUCAAAAGUAAUUGUUGCUGAAAUUUUUACCAUUCUGCAUGUAGGAAAUUUGACAAGGUGGACAAAACAAAACUGGAACUUAAAGAUGAUAAAUAAGAUGGGUAUUCCAUUUUAUUAUCAGAUAUACAUGUACAUGCAUGUCUAUUCCUUUCAAUGUCAUGCAUAAUGCAAGUAUGGAUAAUGUCUUAAAUAGACUAUAGACAAUGGGGAAGGGUAUAUGAAAAACAUUUUCUGUAGUUCAAUCAUGUUCAGUUUUCAUCUAACAGUUUGUUUCAGUUAAAAUUUUUCAGUUUGUUUUAUUGUAGGUAUUUGUGUACUGCCUGUCUAUCAAUUCAGUCCAGUAGUAGACUCACAAUGGCAGAUGAUCUUAUCCGGCAGCUCUAUGCCAGUGUCUCAUUGCAGAAUUGUCAAUGAAUUCAUGAUUAGACAGACAACAGUACAGUCAGAUUAUUUGUUGAUUAUUAGUAUUCUACUAACGUAGUUCCACCUUCCUGUGAUGCCAAAAGAUUUCACAAAGUCAAUGUGAUUUGUUUCAUUGCUGCAGAAUUUCAGUUCAAAAUGGGCCGAAACUUUCCUGGUUUCUUGAAUGUUUUAAUGUUUAAACAUGUGAAUUUUGAGAAAUGUAAAAAUAAAACUUGUAAAAACAUACAUGCAUUUAAAUGUAUAUUGGAAACCAGGAAGGUAUCAGAGAUUAUCCUCGACAAUUUUGGUGUCUCAGUUUGAUCUCUUCUCUGACUGAUGAGGCCCAGGGAGACAAACUGACAUACAUAGUCAUCAGAUUCAUUUACCAUGAAACUUGGUAGGGCUGUGUAGCCUUGUGAUUUUCAUACAGACUCACUUUUCAAUUAUGAUAGGGUGUAGAAAACCACAAGAUUUCUAUGCAUUACAUAACUUAUAUACAUUACAGAGUUGGUCAAUUCUGUAGAUCAAUAAAAGCUAUUUAAAUCACUUUAAAGGGAAUUUAUUUAAAACACCUUAAUAUUAAAAUGUAAUGAACUUGAUUAUUGCCAAUGAAGUUCUCAUAAAUAUUAUCUCUACUAUGCCAUAUGGAUUUUGCAAUAUUUGCAAAAUUAGUUUUAUUGUUUAAUAUCAUUAACUAUGAAUUUGUUAAAAUGAAAAUUGUACACAAAAUUAACAAGACCAAAUUUCCUUUACAGAGAUAAGGUUCCUGAAAAGACGUCAUAUGUACCAAAUUGAUGCAUCAACUCCUGCAAGGAAAUUUGUUGGGUUUUGUGAAAUAAAAGCGUAAUAUUUUCUCAAGAUUAAUGGAUGUUUUGAGAAGAUUAACACAUGUAUUCAUUUUACAGAUGUAGUAAACAGUUACUAUUGCAUACCAGUCAGCAUGGACAGAGUUAAAGGUUGCACAUGUUCAGUGAAAAGUACAUCAAGGAGAAUACAUUCGGCAGAAAUUUCUUUUAUUUUUAAUAAAUAUCAUAUAAAACAUUCAGAACAACUGGAUCCUGCAUGUACAUGUGUAUUACACUUGUAAACUGUCUUGGUUACUGGGAGUACCAAACCAAUAGUCUGGCAAAUGAUUUAUAACCAGAUUGUUAACAGGCUCUGUCCCUUGGUACACCCUGUAAUCAAGUCAACAAAUCAUGCUUUCUUCAACUUUUUAAAUUUUUUUUUUUUAAUUAUAUAGCACAAUUAUUUUCAUUUAUAUAAUUACUUAAACCUUCCGGCUUUAGACAUAAAACAUUUAGAACAACUGGAUCCUGCAUGUACAUGUGUAUUAUACUUGCAUACUGUAUUUUCUAAACUCUUAUACUGAUAUUGAUUACAACUUCACAUGUAUUCACACAACAUUAUCAUUAUCCACUGUCUCUGAAACUGGCACUGUCCUUAGAUGUGUGAAGCAGUUUGGUUAUUCUAUUGUAUAUUUCAUUAUGUUAGUUUAAAUUCAGUCUGAAAUCAGUAUUUCAUAUAUAAUCAUAGAUGUGUGC